CCUACGGGUGGCAGCAGUCGAGAAUUAUUCACAAUGGGGGAAACCCUGAUGGUGCGACGCCGCGUGGGGGAAUGAAGGUCUUCGGAUUGUAAACCCCUGUCAUGGGGGAGCAAAUUAAAAAGAGAGUACCACAAGAGGAAGAGACGGCUAACUCUGGGCCAGCAGCCGCGGUAAGACAGAGGUCUCAAGCGUUGUUCGGAAUCACUGGGCGUAAAGCGUGCGUAGGCUUUUUCGUAAGUCGUGGGUGAAAGGCGCGGGCUCAACCCGCGGACGGCACAUGAUACGGCGAGACUAGAGUAAGGGAGUGGGAACCGGAAUUCUCGGUGUAGCCGU
rnacentral:rRNA from 1 species